rnacentral:piRNA from 2 species
UUUUUAGUUUUCAUUAAUUUCUGCCC